rnacentral:rRNA from 1 species
AGAGUUUGAUUCUGGCUCAGGACGAACGCUGGCGGCGUGCUUAACACAUGCAAGUCGAACGAUGAAGCGGUGCUUGCACCGUGGAUUAGUGGCGAACGGGUGAGUAAUACGUGAGUGACCUACCUUUGACUCUGGGAUAAGCCUGGGAAACUGGGUCUAAUACCGGAUACGACCAAUCUCCGCAUGGGGUGUUGGUGGAAAGCGUUAUGUAGUGGUUAUAGAUGGGCUCACGGCCUAUCAGCUUGUUGGUGAGGUAACGGCUCACCAAGGCGACGACGGGUAGCCGGCCUGAGAGGGUGACCGGCCACACUGGGACUGAGACACGGCCCAGACUCCUACGGGAGGCAGCAGUGGGGAAUAUUGCACAAUGGGCGCAAGCCUGAUGCAGCGACGCCGCGUGAGGGAUGACGGCCUUCGGGUUGUAAACCUCUGUUAGCAGGGAAGAAGAGAGAUUGACGGUACCUGCAGAGAAAGCGCCGGCUAACUACGUGCCAGCAGCCGCGGUAAUACGUAGGGCGCGAGCGUUGUCCGGAAUUAUUGGGCGUAAAGAGCUUGUAGGCGGUUUGUCGCGUCUGCUGUGAAAGGCCGGGGCUUAACCCCGUGUAUUGCAGUGGGUACGGGCAGACUAGAGUGCAGUAGGGGAGACUGGAAUUCCUGGUGUAGCGGUGGAAUGCGCAGAUAUCAGGAGGAACACCGAUGGCGAAGGCAGGUCUCUGGGCUGUAACUGACGCUGAGAAGCGAAAGCAUGGGGAGCGAACAGGAUUAGAUACCCUGGUAGUCCAUGCCGUAAACGUUGGGCACUAGGUGUGGGGGACAUUCCACGUUUUCCGCGCCGUAGCUAACGCAUUAAGUGCCCCGCCUGGGGAGUACGGCCGCA